rnacentral:rRNA from 3 species
AAAUUGAAGAGUUUGAUCAUGGCUCAGAUUGAACGCUGGCGGCAGGCCUAACACAUGCAAGUCGAACGGUAACAGGAAGCAGCUUGCUGCUUCGCUGACGAGUGGCGGACGGGUGAGUAAUGUCUGGGAAACUGCCUGAUGGAGGGGGAUAACUACUGGAAACGGUAGCUAAUACCGCAUAACGUCG